rnacentral:misc_RNA from 1 species
UGAAGUUUAGUUGCACUUUUAGAGAGCCUGACAUUUAUUUUCCGUAGUUUAAACAAAUCAAAUUUUUUUUGUUUAUUUUUAAUGAAAGAAUUAAAUACUCUCUUGGCCCUUGUAUCAUUAUAGUAAAUUUGUAUUUUUAGUGAUGAACUUCCCCAAGGAUAUGCUUGCAAUUGUACCUCCAAAUUAUGCCAAUAUAUUAUUAUAAUAAUAAAUAAGAGGUGGAGAGAAAAAGCACUAUCACCUUUCUUCUUUUUCUCUUUCUUCAUUUUCUACUUUUCCUUA